CCUGGCUUAUGUAAAAAUCAUAGGGAAUACUGGGUAAAUCUGGGCACUUCCUUGGCUACAGACUGGUCACCAAGGAAGGCCUAGGCCAAACUACCACAAUGUCCUUGAGGGAAGCCUGGAAGCCCUGUAGACUGAUCAAUGUUUGUAGACUCUCAGUAAUAAGGGACAAGUUACUGUAUUUAAAGGGUGACUAAGAUGGAGACUACCUUUUUACAAGGAGCCACAGGGAAAACAUGAGGAGUACAUGUACGAGUUACUACUGUGUUGAUACAAGAUGAGCUGGGCUAGACGUAAUUCUGAUAAAGGCCUUGAGAAAAGGAAAUGCGAAACUUUGGAGGCACUUUGAGUCCUUAUCUUGCUGGGAACUGACCUCCAGGCUUUGGGGAAAUUGUACUGUACAGAUGGCAUUUUCCAUCUGAAACCACCUAUUGUGGAGGUCAUCUUGCAAAAGGGAGUCUCAAAGCCUGGGAAGGGUUCCACUGCAGAUGGUCAGUGUAUAAGGCCAGGGAGAAUUGUUCCUUAGCCAGGGAAAAGGCUUCAGAUUUUACAAUGAGAUUGGGAUCCAUGAACAUCCAAGUGUAG
rnacentral:lncRNA from 1 species